UACGUAGGGUGCAAGCGUUGUCCGGAAUUAUUGGGCGUAAAGAGCUCGUAGGCGGUCUGUCGCGUCGGCUGUGAAAACCUGGGGCUCAACCCCGGGCCUGCAGCCGAUACGGGCAAACUAGAAUUCGGUAGGGGAGACUGGAAUUCCUGGUGUAGCGGUGAAAUGCGCAGAUAUCAGGAGGAACACCGGUGGCGAAGGCGGGUCUCUGGGCCGAUAUUGACGCUGAGGAGCGAAAGCGUGGGGAGCAAACAGG
rnacentral:rRNA from 1 species